UGGGGAAUAUUGGACAAUGGGCGAAAGCCUGAUCCAGCCAUGCCGCGUGUGUGAAGAAGGUCUUCGGAGUGUAAAGCACUUUAAGUUGGGAGGAAGGGCAGUAAGCGAAUACCUUGCUGUUUUGACGUUACCGACAGAAUAAGCACCGGCUAACUCUGUGCCAGCAGCCGCGGUAAUACAGAGGGUGCAAGCGUUAAUCGGAAUUACUGGGCGUAAAGCGCGCGUAGGUGGUUCAUUAAGUUGAAUGUGAAAGCCCCGGGCUCAACCUGGGAACUGCAUCCAAAACUGGCGAGCUAGAGUAGGGCAGAGGGUGGUGGAAUUUCCUGUGUAGCGGUGAAAUGCGUAGAUAUAGGAAGGAACACCAGUGGCGAAGGCGACCACCUGGGCUCAUACUGACACUGAGGUGCGAAAGCGUGGGGAGCAAACAGG
rnacentral:rRNA from 1 species